rnacentral:rRNA from 1 species
GAUGAACGCUGGCGGCGCGCCUAACACAUUGCAAGUUCAACGGCACCUGCCCCUCGGGCAGAAGCGAGUUGGCGAACGGCUGAGUAACACGUGGAGAAACCUGCCCCCUCCCCCGGGAUAGCCGCCCGAAAGGACGGGUAAUACCGGAUACCCCGGGGUGCCGCAUGGCACCCCGGCUAAAGCCCCGACGGGAGGGGAUGGCUCCGCGGCCCAUCAGGUAGACGGCGGGGUGACGGCCCACCGUGCCGACAACGGGUAGCCGGGUUGAGAGACCGACCGGCCAGAUUGGGACUGAGACACGGCCCAGACUCCUACGGGAGGCAGCAGUGGGGAAUCUUGCGCAAUGGGGGGAACCCUGACGCAGCGACGCCGCGUGCGGGAGGGAGGCCUUCGGGUCCUAAACCGCUUUCAGCAGGGAAGAGUCAAGACUGUACCUGCAGAAGAAGCCCCGGCUAACUACGUGCCAGCAGCCGCGGUAAUACGUAGGGGGCGAGCGUUAUCCGGAUUCAUUGGGCGUAAAGCGCGCGUAGGCGGCCCGGCAGGCCGGGGGUCGGAGGCGGGGGGCUCAACCCCCCGAAGCCCCCGGAACCUCCGCGGCUUGGGUCCGGUAGGGGAGGGUGGAACACCCGGUGUAGCGGUGGAAUGCGCAGAUAUCGGGUGGAACACCGGUGGCGAAGGCGGCCCUCUGGGCCGAGACCGACGCUGAGGCGCGAAAGCUGGGGGAGCGAACAGGAUUAGAUACCCUGGUAGUCCCAGCCGUAAACGAUGGACGCUAGGUGUGGGGGGACGAUCCCCCCGUGCCGCAGCCAACGCAUUAAGCGUCCCGCCUGGGGAGUACGGCCGCAAGGCUAAAACUCAAAGGAAUUGACGGGGGCCCGCACAAGCAGCGGAGCAUGUGGCUUAAUUCGAAGCAACGCGAAGAACCUUACCAGGGCUUGACAUAUGGGUGAAGCGGGGGAGACCCCGUGGCCGAGAGGAGCCCAUACAGGUGGUGCAUGGCUGUCGUCAGCUCGUGUCGUGAGAUGUUGGGUUAAGUCCCGCAACGAGCGCAACCCCCGCCGCGUGUUGCCAUCGGGUGAUGCCGGGAACCCACGCGGGACCGCCGCCGUCAAGGCGGAGGAGGGCGGGGACGACGUCAAGUCAUCAUGCCCCUUAUGCCCUGGGCUGCACACGUGCUACAAUGGCCGGUACAGAGGGAUGCCACCCCGCGAGGGGGAGCGGAUCCCGGAAAGCCGGCCCCAGUUCGGAUUGGGGGCUGCAACCCGCCCCCAUGAAGUCGGAGUUGCUAGUAAUCGCGGAUCAGCAUGCCGCGGUGAAUGCGUUCCCGGGCCU